rnacentral:rRNA from 1 species
AUUGAACGCUGGCGGCAGGCUUAACACAUGCAAGUCGAGCGAGCGGCGGACGGGUGAGUAAUGUCUGGGAAACUGCCUGAUGGAGGGGGAUAACUACUGGAAACGGUAGCUAAUACCGCAUACCAUCAGAUGUGCCCAGAUGGGAUUAGCUAGUAGGUGGGGUAAUGGCUCACCUAGGCGACGAUCCCUAGCUGGUCUGAGAGGAUGACCAGCCACACUGGAACUGAGACACGGUCCAGACUCCUACGGGAGGCAGCAGUGGGGAAUAUUGCACAAUGGGCGCAAGCCUGAUGCAGCCAUGCCGCGUGUAUGAAGAAGGCCUUCGGGUUGUAAAGUACUUUCAGCGAGGAGGCGUUACUCGCAGAAGAAGCACCGGCUAACUCCGUGCCAGCAGCCGCGGUAAUC